rnacentral:rRNA from 1 species
GAUGAACGCUGGCGGCGUGCCUAAUACAUGCCAGUCGAGCGAACAGACGAGGAGCUUGCUCCUCUGACGUUAGCGGCGGACGGGUGAGUAACACGUGGAUAACCUACCUAUAAGACUGGGAUAACUUCGGGAAACCGGAGCUAAUACCGGAUAAUAUAUUGAACCGCAUGGUUCAAUAGUGAAAGACGGUUUUGCUGUCACUUAUAGAUGGAUCCGCGCCGCAUUAGCUAGUUGGUAAGGUAACGGCUUACCAAGGCAACGAUGCGUAGCCGACCUGAGAGGGUGAUCGGCCACACUGGAACUGAGACACGGUCCAGACUCCUACGGGAGGCAGCAGUAGGGAAUCUUCCGCAAUGGGCGAAAGCCUGACGGGGCAACGCCGCGUGAGUGAUGAAGGUCUUCGGAUCGUAAAACUCUGUUAUUAGGGAAGAACAAAUGUGUAAGUAACUAUGCACGUCUUGACGGUACCUAAUCAGAAAGCCACGGCUAACUACGUG